UACGUAGGGUGCGAGCGUUGUCCGGAAUUACUGGGCGUAAAGCGCACGCAGGUGGCUGAGUCAGUCGGUUGUGAAAGCCCUGGGCUUAACCUGGGAAUUGCAGUCGAUACUACUCAGCUAGAGUAUGGGAGAGGGCAGUGGAAUUCCCGGUGUAGCGGUGAAAUGCGCAGAUAUCAGGAGGAACACCAAUUGCGAAGGCAGCUCGCUGGGACGUUACUGACGCUGAGACGCGAAAGCGUGGGGAGCAAACAGG
rnacentral:rRNA from 1 species